rnacentral:rRNA from 1 species
GAUGAACGCUAGCGGCAGGCUUAACACAUGCAAGUCGAGGGGUAGAGGCUUUCGGGCCUUGAGACCGGCGCACGGGUGCGUAACGCGUAUGCAAUCUGCCUUUCACAGAGGGAUAGCCCAGAGAAAUUUGGAUUAAUACCUCAUAGCAUUACAGAGUGGCAUCACUUUGUAAUUAAAGUCACAACGGUGAAAGAUGAGCAUGCGUCCCAUUAGCUAGUUGGUAAGGUAACGGCUUACCAAGGCAACGAUGGGUAGGGGUCCUGAGAGGGAGAUCCCCCACACUGGUACUGAGACACGGACCAGACUCCUACGGGAGGCAGCAGUGAGGAAUAUUGGUCAAUGGGCGCAAGCCUGAACCAGCCAUGCCGCGUGCAGGAUGACGGUCCUAUGGAUUGUAAACUGCUUUUGUACGGGAAGAAACACUCCUACGUGUAGGAGCUUGACGGUACCGUAAGAAUAAGGAUCGGCUAACUCCGUGCCAGCAGCCGCGGUAACAC